rnacentral:lncRNA from 1 species
ACACCUUCAAAAAAUGAUAAAAACGUUUUUGAGGAUAAUGUUAAAAAUGAAAUGGAGCCAAAUAGUAUAAACGGUGAUAUUGGUAUUAAUAUUAAAUAUAUAUUUGGCAAUGCUGAUAUGGUUUUUCGAAAAAAUAAAUUUAGUGGACAUACGGUGCAUAUAAAUCAGGAAAAAGAACUGAUAAAAGAAAGUUGUGGUGGUAAUAGUGGUAGUAAUAAUAACAAAGAGAGCAACAAAAAAGAAGGUGACGACAACACAAGUGACGGUGGCGAAAACAAAAGUGAAGGUGACGAUAACAAAAAUAGAGACGGUGAUAGCGAUGGUAAUAGCGAUGGUAAUAGCGAUGGUGAUAGCGAUGGUGAUAGCGAUGGUAAUAGCGAUGGUAAUAGCGAUGGUGAUAGCGAUGGUGAUAGCGAUGGUGAUAGUGACGGUGAUAGCGAUGGUAAUGAAAACAAAAUUUUACUUGCAGACUUUAACAUAAUUUGUUUGAAAUGUAUGAACGAAAUGAAUCUGUCAAACCAACCAUUUUUAUGUUUGAACUGCUUCAAAAAUCAAAUGGUUUUAAAAAAAGUAAAAAGGAAUAAAAGAAAAAAUUAUAAAUUAAUGCAUAAAAUAUUUGAUAAUAAAUUAACUCACAUAAAUAAAUUGAUUUCUAAUUUUUUGAUGGAAGUUGAUAAAGUAAAAAAUAGUUUACAAUUAAGUUAUGAUGAGAUCGUGCAGGAGGUUAUAAAAAUGAAAAUAAAUAGUGCAUAUAAAUUACAAAAAAAUAUGUGCAAACUUUUUUUUAUUUAUUUUAAAAAUAUGAGUAAAUCAAAAAAUAAUAAUAAUAGUAAUAAUAAUAAUAGCAGUAAUAAUAAUAGCAGUAAUAAUAAUAGCAGUAAUAAUAAUAGCAGUAAUAAUAAUAAUAAUAAUAAUAAUAAUAAUGAUAAUAGUCCCAUUUCCAAAACAGAGUUUAAUGAUUCAAAGAAAGAACAUUAUAGUUCUAAUUAUAAAAACGUCCUUAAGAUGACAACAUCUGAAAGGGCUAAACAUCAAGCAAUGGACUAUUUACUUUAUGAUUCUGUAACACAAACAAAAGGAAAUUUUUUUCAAAAUUUUAUAGUAUGUGAUAAAAAUAUUUAUAAAGCUAUAAAAAAAAAAACUUAUGCUGAUAUGUCCUAUGUUUUAUUUUUUUAUAUGAAUUGUUAUAAAAAUUUGAGAAAAGGAGAAUUGAUGGAAAUACCUUUAUAUUUGGAGACAUAUAUGGAAACAACUACAUCUGGUAAUAGUAAUAAUUUCGAAAAAAAUGAUAAAGGUAUGACUGUUAGCGGUAACAAUGCUGAUUAUUAUAAAACAGAAAAAAAGCAAGAUGGUAUAAAAACUAGUACCACUAGCAGUAGUAACAAUAGUAGUAAUGGUAGUAGUACCGAUCCUAGUGGUAAUAGUAUACGUUUUGGGCUUAAAAAACAUAUUCACAAAAAUAAAUGUAAGGAUCCAGAAAAUGAAAAUACAUACAACCAUGAACAUGCACCUAGUUCAAGUGAAAAUAAUAGCAGUAGUGUAGAUAGUGAUAGCAGUUGUAAUAAUAUGGAAAAUAAUACUGAUAACACGAACAGAACUAAUAUAGGUGGAUAUUUUUUAUAUGCUCUUGUUAUAUCACACUAUACCUAUGCAUGUAAUCAUAUAUUAUCCCAAAACUGUAGUUACAAUAAAACAAACGAUAUGAAUUUUGCUAAUAAUAAUUAUAGCACUACUAGUAGUAGUAGUAGCAAUAACAACGAACAAAGUAAAGAUUAUUCAUAUUUAAUUUUCAGACCAUAUUUAAAUGGGUCAUGGUACAAAGUUUAUAAAAAUAGAAUAACCAAAUUAGAACAAACAUGUGAAUUUAAUGAAUGGAAAUUUCAUAAAGAUUUUUUUUGUUCUUGUUGUAUUUAUGUUUGUGAAUUUUAUUAUCAUUUACAUAAUUUUAUAUUUAUGCAUAAGUUUAAUAUAAAAGAUAUAAACUUUCCUUUGUAUAUACAUACAUUGCAAGAGUUUAAAAUUAAAGAGAGUGAUUUAUUUGAUUUUUACAACAAGGAGAAUAAAGAAAUUGUUGGUUCUCGUUUGGAUCAGCACCACCAGUUGAUGGAUGUUGUUGGUCACAACACUGUGUAUGAGAUACCGUCUUUGAGUAAGAGCGAACAAGAAAAGGGAACUGAAGAAGAAAAGGGAACUGAAGAAGAAAAGGG